CCUGUAUGCUGGGUUUUAUACUCAUUCGUGAUCUAACGGUUGCAAGAACUUUGAAAGAUUGUUUCAAAUGACGAAAAAAUAUUUGCUUUGUUAGUCGCUUCUGAUGGAUAUUAUGUAUAACCAAAAAAUGAUUUUGAAAAAGAAAAAAAUACCAUUAUACUUUAAAAAGUAGUGAAAAAAAAAAAUAAAGCCCACGUUGUAUUUUACAACAAUGACUUCGCAUUGCUUCAAAAAUUAAGCAAUAAUUUAAUCAAUCCUUCCACAAUAAAUUUACAUCGGCUACUUGAUGCACAUGAAAUCUCAAAACGUCCAGAGCCAUCAACUCAUUUUCACUCUCAAAAUAAGGAACCAAGUAAUUUAGUUGGUCUGAGUAUUAAUUAUGAUAACAUAGAUUGUCAGCAAUCUACACAGUAUAAAAUAAUUAAUCAAGACUGUGCUAGCGAUGCAGAUCAUGUAUUAAAUUCUAGUAACUGGCAUGAUAAAAUAACAGAUAUUCGUAAAUAUGCAAGCUGUCUUGAUAUAUUCUCCCAACGCAAAAGAGUUAUUCGGUUUAUUAUUUAUAGUUAAGAAUGACUUCUUAGAUCUGAAUAACCUCCAUCAGCUCAUGCCUUUAUCACAUACAGAAAAUAACGAAACCAUCGAAGAAGCGAAAGAUUGCAUUUUAUUUCACAACCGUGAUCGGGUGGUGCUUAGUAAUGUUGAUGAGACUUUAAAUUAUCCCUCAAUAGUAAAUUUAUACCAGCAACUGGAGAGUAAAUUAUAUUUUUUCGAUAUUUAAAAUCUUUGCAAGAUUUUUACAUUUUUCAUCGCUUUUCCAGCACAUGAAAUACAAAAAAAUACAGAACAACUAAUUUUCACUCUCUCAAUAAUGAGCCAAGUAAUUUAUUCGGUUUAAUUAGUAAUUGUGAUGAAAUAGACUGUCAGCAAUCAGGACAGUUUAGAAUAAUUGAUCAAGAGUGUGCUAGUGACACAGAUCAUAUAUUAACUUUCAGUAACUGAGUCAUUCGGCUAAUUAUCAUUGGAUUGCUAUGACUUGUUGGACCAGGUGAACUCCGCCAGCUUAUGCCUUUACCACAAACCAAAUUUAUCAGGAUGGCAUGAUCCCCAAAAAUUUAUUGAAAAUUUAGAUGAAAAAAAGAAAAAAAGACAGAUAUAAACAUUUUAAAAAUUGAAAAUGUUAAUUUGGUGGGAUUAUAUAUUGUUUCAAACAAUGUCUCAAAUAAAACAGAUAAAACUAAUGAUAUCAUUCACAAAAGAUGAAAUCUUAUAUUUCACAAAUAUUAAAUGUGAGUUAUACGAUCAGUUAUUAACACAGGACGAUGAUGUUGAUGCCGACAUUCCAGUUGAUAGCAUGAGAUAUCAUAAUUCUUCCGAUUCGAUACCUAAUCUAUCAAACUUAAGUGCCAUAAAUAAUUGGUCAGAUCAUGAUUAUUCAUUAUCAUUUGAGAAAGUUCAUGAAGAUAUAAAUAAUAACUCUACUGAGAUUUUCCAUUCUACUAUUAAUACAGAUCAACGAUUAUUUGAUAAAACGGGUAAUUAUACAGCUGACUUAGAAGAUCCUGAUUAUAUGCCAGAUAUUAAUCGAAGUCCAGAGUCAAUAACUCAAAAUCUAAGUGAAAAAGAUAUUUCAAGGAAUGCUAUUGAGAAGGGAUCUAAUGUAACGAAAAAUGUCAAUCUUCUGGCGUUUGGAAAUGAAGAUGUUGAAUUAGAUCAAAUAAUUUUACGGUCGGGUGCUCCUGACCCGUCUAAAAUGCAUGUGAAGAAUACUAAAGAUAAAAAAGAACAUUAUUGUGGUUUUUGUAAUAAAAAAGUUCAUCGAUAUGGUAGACACUUAGCUGUUCAUGAAAAAAUUCCUGAAGUCGCUUUAAUUUUAAAAAUGGAAAAAAAGAGUAAACAGUUCAAAGCUGUAAUUGAUAAUCUGCGUAUAGCUCACGAUUCCAAAUGAAACACUGAUCCUACUGUCAACGAUGGAGAGUUGAUUGUUUUACAGCGUCCAAAUAAAUUAAAAGUUGAAGAAGAUAAUAAGGAGCAAAUUAAAAUUUCUGAUGAAGUGCUGAAAGAAAACGAAUCCGGCAAUGAAGAAUUAAAUGAUCAAGAAGGAAUUAAAGAGAAUCCUGUCGAUGAAAUAACUACGAAAGAAAAAGACGCAAAAAUCAUAACUCCUAUGGAUUAUACCUUAUGUCCUGAUUGUAAAGGAUUUGUAAGGAUUUGAAAUGUUCGGCAUCAUUUCAAAAAAUGUUUGAGGCGUAAAAAUAAACCUACAAAAACUGGCAGUGUUUUGCCUUUAAGUAGAAUGCUAACUGGUCGGAUUCAUGAGUAUGCUAAUAAUAUUGUGAAACGUGACGUUUUUCCAUAUUUACGUGACGACAACAUUAUAGCUGGUAUCAGAUAUGAAGAGUUGGUCAUUUUGUACGCUAAUGAGCUCGCUGAAAAACUUCCAGCGCUAGAAGAUCACGCUAUGAUCCGCCGAAAAUUGCAGAUAAUAGGUAGGCUUAUUAUAGCAGCUAAUAAAAUUGCAGUACCUGAAAAGCAUACUUUAAUGUCUUUACUGUUACCUAAAAACUUUCAACUGUGCAUGAAAGCUGUGUAUGAUGUAGCUGGCUACAAUGAAAAAGAACGGUCUUUUACAGCCCCUUCCACUGCGGUUGCAAUUGGCACAUCACUUAAAUAUAUUCCCGAUAAAAAAUGUUUAGAACCAAGCAUAUAUGAUUGGAUCCAAAUAGUCAGAUAUGCUUGGAUCCAAAUUUUAGCGCGAUCCAAUCGGAUCCAAACAGAUCUGGCAAUAUCCAAAGAGAUCUCAUUAUAUCCAAGUAUAUCCAAACAGAUCUUAAAAUAUCAAAAGAGAUCCAAACAGAUCUCAAAAUAUCCAAAGAGAUCCAAACAGAUCUCGUUAUAUCUACGAAUAUAUAAGUGUAUCCAAGCAGAUCUGCGUAAAUAUCGAUCUUUAAAGAAAUUGAUUUAAGUACAUAUAUAUAAAGAAGUUUUACUACAUUCUAAUGAAUGUAUGUAUAAAUAUAUUAUACUUCAGACCA